rnacentral:lncRNA from 1 species
GAUCUCAAAGACAUGUUUUUGUUCAUAUUGUUGUAAUUUGCACACAUCAUUUCCACUUGCCAUUGUUUUUUAUUUACCAUUACGACAUUGGUCAACCAUGUCAAAUAUUUGAUUUCUUAAAAGAUCAUGCCUUUUUUCUAUAUUUUGAGUCUCUUCCUGGAUUGUAACUCGUAAUUUUCCUCGUAGCUUUAUCUUCUUUUUCAGUACUAAUUGGAAAACAUAAUCAACGGUUGGGCGAUGCGAAACUACCUUUGGGUCAAUUUCAAAUAUCUAUGAUAAACUCCAUGGAAAUAAAUGAGUUUCUUCUCGUGCUUCACAUCAAUCACAUAUAUUUUCAAAAACACUGAAA